GACUGCUGACACUGCUGCAGGAUUUGCUUUGCAGGCACAAGUACAUACAGAUGGAAUUGCUCUCGCUCCUGCCUUUUGCCACAACCAGAAGAAGUAGUGGGAAAAUCUGAGAUGAAACAGCUUCUGCUAACAUACCUGGUUGAACAUUGUGUGCCUUGCCCUCUUUUACUUCAGCAGUGUCAUUCAGAAGCAAGCACAGUGGAAUCAGUGGAUGAUGUUCAGACAAAGCUGAUGUGAGAAGAGAUUGAGACUCUCUGUCUGAGGUGAGACAGAUAAAUUGCGAGAGAGUAACGGAGAAAUGCAUGAGAUGCGUGAGUAUCUAAAGUCUGAGCUUUUCAAACAUGCUGGCUAAAACAGUGAAGAAGGUAUGAAGCUUCAUUUGCUGCCAACAUUUAUAGCUCAGUACUUGCUUUGUUUUCGCUCAGUGAAAUACAAGGCAGAAUUAACUUUGUAACAGAACAUAGGCAAAAAUCUGGAUAAUUGUGUUAUUGGGAAAGAAUAAAAAUAAAAUAAA